CAUAUGAGCAAGAUGCCUAUGAAAAGACUCUCGCUUCUGCUGCUGCUACAGCUGACUUGUUACUUUAGCGGUGGGAGUUGUGGAAAGGUGCUGGUGUGGCCGGUGGAAUUUAGUCACUGGAUGAAUAUGAAGACAAUUCUGGAGGAACUUGUCACGAAGGGUCAUGAGGUGACUGUUCUGAUAUCUUCAGCUUCCACUAUUCCUAAUUCCAGCAAACCAUCUACUAUGACAUUUGAGACUUUUCCUACAACUUUAACAAAAAGUGAUUAUGAGAAUUUUAUGGAACGUCUUCUUGAGGAAUUGACAUAUGUGGCAAAAGAUUCCUUUUGGUCCUAUUUGGCAACAGUGAAACGUUCAUUUUGGGAAUUUUUUGAUACUGCUCUAAGUAUGUGUAAAGACGCUGUUUCCAACAAGAAAUUAAUGACAAAACUACAGGAAUCAAGGUUUGAUAUCCUUAUUGCAGAUGCCGUUGGACCCUGUGGUGAACUGCUGGCUGAAUUACUUAAAAUACCAUUCGUGUACAGUCAUUACACCUCACCUGGCCAUAUAAUUGAAAAGAAUAGCGGAAGACUUCCAUUCCCACCAUCUUAUGUACCUGUUAUGUUUUCAGAAUUAAGUGAUCGCAUGACAUUCAUGGAGAGGGUCAAAAAUAUGUUUUACACACUUUAUUUUGACCUUUUCUUCACAGCAUACAACGAUAAGAAGUGGAAUCAGUUUUACAGUGAAGUACUAGGAAGAUCUACUACCUUAUCAGAGACAUGGGGAAAGCCGAAAUGUGGCUCAUUCGAAGCUACUGGGACAUUUCAUUUCCUCGUCCACGACUACCAAAUGUUGAAUUUGUUGGAGGGCUCCACUGCAAACCUGCCAAGCCUCUGCCUAAGGAAAUGGAAGAGUUUGUGCAGAGCUCUGGCGAAAAUGGAAUUGUGGUGUUUUCUUUGGGGUCAAUGGUCAGUAACAUGUCAGAAGACAGAGCCGAGGUGAUUGCAUCAGCCUUCGCUCAAAUUCCACAAAAGGUGCUAUGGAGAUAUGAUGGCAAAAAACCAGAUAACUUAGGACCCAACACCCGGUUGUAUAAAUGGCUUCCCCAGAAUGACCUUCUUGGCCAUCCAAAAACCAAAGCCUUUAUAACUCAUGGUGGAAGUAAUGGUGUUUAUGAGGCCAUCUAUCAUGGGAUCCCUAUGGUGGGCACUCCUUUGUUUGCUGAUCAAGCUGAUAACAUC
rnacentral:lncRNA from 1 species